rnacentral:lncRNA from 1 species
CAUCAGAUAAGCUUCCAGUACCACUGCAGCCCCCAAAAAUAAGCUCCUCUACUCACCCACUCAAAUGCACUGAAACCAACACGAAACAAGACCAAAACACAAGGAAAAUCAAACUGUUGGCUCCUCCAUUACCAGUGCUCCUUUCCAGUUGCUCUCCGAAGGAUAUCACCGGUAUCGCCGAGGCAAAGAAUAUGUAAGUGGUUGGCGCUAGGAUCCUGAAAACAUGGCACAAAGGAAGUUCAACUCAAGAUCUUGGGCCAAUAAACACAAUGCUAGAAGAAGAGCAAAAAAAAGAUUAUCUCGAGCUUCCCAUCAACAGCAGGUUUCCAUUUCAAGAUCUUGGCGCAUAACAGCAAAGACAAGAACACAAUGCCAAGAAGAGAAGACGGAUUUACGCGAAGAACGACUUGUGUAAUUAUAAAUACCUGAUACCGGCACGGAAGCCUCCGGUCCAAUCCUGCUUGUAGCAGGUGAGCCUCCCGCGGAGGUCAUUCUUGAUGCCCCGGAGGGGCACGAAGCUCUCCUCCAUUUCCCCAAAAGGGAGGCCUCAGCUUCGCUUUCUCUCAAAGGAAUCCAGAUUCCAGAGAGUAUAUUCAGAUGGCCACCAGCUAGGUGUUGAACGAGAGACCCAGAUUACAUCUUGCGGCAGACGGUGCCAGGUGAAAUGCUAGGAAUUUGCGAGCUCCCGGUGCAUUAAUUUAGCGCGGAUCCAUGGAGGAAGAUAAGGAGCCAAGGCUACAAAGGGAAGUAUAGCCCAGGGAGCAUAGAGAGCAGCAGGAUUGGCGAGUGUCUGAGCGAGUGAGAACGAGAGGGCAGGACGAAGCUUCAGAAGCUACUGGACUGGGAUAGAGGGCUGCUCCUAUAUAGACAGUGCUGGGGCCUGGGAGAGAGAGGCAGCAGGAAGGCAUCACUGUCAUGUCCUAAAAAGAAUUUCCUGACACGAAAAAUGAAGAUGUAAACCUUUUUUUCUUUUGCAUUAGAAAAGAAAAAUGCAUUGCUCAAGAGCUGAUCAGGGGUUGAGGAUGACCCGGAGGAAAAGAUAUACUUAACUUGGGAGUGGAGAGUCAUAAGAUAAUUUGGAACGGAGGGAGUAGCAUAAGAUACUCGUGGGUUUGUUUGGGUCCAAGCCAUGUUCAUAGCUUCAUAAACGGGAGUAAAUUUUUGAUUUAUUAAGACAAAUUUUUGAUUAACAGAUUCCGAACCAGAUGUUCACGUGAGGUCAGAGAUGUUCGUCGGAGCUUGAUGAAUGGUAAUAUUUUUGAUUUAUUAAACUCUGUUAGUCUGCAACUGAUUUUAAUGCACAAUUAUUUUGGCUUGGCUCUGGAAGGCCAGUGCCAGUCCAGCUCUAGCUGUCUGUCUGGCUGAAGGAAGGACCCAGCCGGCUUCCUCUGACCAUUUUUACUAAUAAUCUCAUGUGCUCCGUCCUAUAUAUUAUAAUUUUCAUAAGAUAUGUUAAGGAAUUCAUUUAUACUGGAUUUAAGGUAGAAAGGCAGCAACUUUUUGCAGAAUGUUCAUGUGCGUCUGUAUACCUUUUCCAACUAAGACUUCCGUAUGUAUGUGCAAAAAAAAAAAAUAGACCUCAUAUUUAGUUAAUAUAGAACUGCAUGAGAACUCAUGGACGCCGUUGCCAAUUAUUAAGCUUUUCAAGAAACUGCUAAUCUAUAUGGAACAGCAGCUUUCAGCAGUAUAACUCUUCACCUUUUUGUAUAUUCAAAUGAGUAACCUCUUACUCCCUCCGAUGCAUAAUAAGUGUGCUGAUCACAGGGAGUAUUAGUUACUACAGGAGAGCUUACUUAUAAUAUGAUGAUUGACAUUAUAUUCAGGAUAUGACCAAGGGACAAAUGCUCUCACCAACAUUCCGAGGCAUAUAUACCUGCCAGUUGAUGCAUCAUGUAAUUAAGUGUAAGCUGUAAUUAACUUCUGGAAGCAUCAUGCCAGCAGCUAUUCUGUAACUGCUGCAAAGCCAGCAAAAUAAUAAUUUUUAUUUACCUAUUACAAGACAUCAUGAUUUAUGACCAUGCAUGUACCCCCGCUAUCCAGAUCCCAACAAAUAUAAGGGGGGCUAGUAUAAUAGCAAUAUUCUCAACCUACUGUCUGCUACUUGAUCAGUCACAAAUCAAAACUACUUGGCCUCAGCAUGUGCACAUGCAUUAUUUUUUCUUUAAAAACAUCCAGUACUUAUAGUUCGUAAAAAAAAAUAGCGUGCAUAAGGUGACAGGAUCAGCUCCUUGAAACCUGCAUCCUGUUCAUGUCUGUGGAAUCUUCCAUUAAGAAAUCAGGUUUUGAGAAACCCUAAAAACUGAAGUUUGCUUCUGUCAUACAAUGUCGUAAAGUUGACCUUAAUUUUGUCCGAACAUGAGUGAUUGUACCUGGAGUAACUUUAACAAAUCUAAGUUCUUUCUUUGGCUCUGUUGUGGAGUUAUCCGAGGAAUUUCUGUCUUGUCGAUGAAUUUAUUAGAUAAUAUGGAAAUAUGAGUACCUUUUCUAUAUUGAAAAACAAGGUUAUUGGGGCAAGUGGAUUUGAUGGGGCUAAUCUGGUGGUGGUGUUACUUUGUUUUAGAUCAAACAUGAAUGUCUACUAAAUCUCUCUUUGGUGCUGACAGAGUAAGAUACAUGGGUGUGGGUCAUGGAUCCUGCACCUGCACUUUAGUGUGACCUAACUAACCAUCACCCGACACAUUUAGGGUUUGUAAAAGCAUGUCAGCCUUCCUGAUAAAAGUAGUUAGUGCUUAAAUCUAUCCAGAUAUCACAUCUUCAAAAUAUGAACUGAAAUACCAAAGUUUAUUCCUCGAGAAAAAGAACAAAGAAUAAUAGAGUAGGAGUCUUUUUUAGUUAAAAAAGAGGUCGAAAAUAAACGAAAAGCCUCGGAAAUAGGGUGAGCACAAAAGCCUUUUCCCGGCGGGUGCUUGGCACCGGCAAUAAGCCCAGGCCUCAAUUUUUACGCGCCCAAAUAUAAUCGAUGUCAGGGUUGGAACUUUAGGGAAGACCAGAGCGUUGCGCUCUUUCCAAAUCUCGAACGAGACAAGCAUGAUGAUCGAGGUGAUCGCUUUCCACUUGUGUCGCCGGUCUGAAGAGAAACCAGAUCACGCAUGCAUAUUCCUUUCCGUUGGUGUCGAAAAACAAAGUCCAGGAAAGUUACCUAGCGAUGUAUUUUCCUUUAACAACACCUCUCCCUAACUUAGUUGAAAGAUCAACACCUAAGAAAGAUAAUAAAUAAGAUAACACUUUAACAAAGUCUGGUUGGCCACUCAUGCGCACGUGCAAUGGUGCUUCUACUGGUUUUUCUUUUCUAACAGAGCUUUCAGUUAAACUAGAUUUUUUAUGGCCAUUUAGAAAAAGGCUACAAUGACGCUAGCUUGCACUGACUUGAAGAUGAAAUGCACUAUCGACCUUUUUUUUUGUUAAUUAUAGGUUAUAUUGACAUGGCUUAGAUAAUAUGCAUGGCAACUUUGGUCCUAUGCAUUUCCGCAAAAUUUCAAAUCUUUAACAUCACUUUCACAAGAUUUUUACUAAUCUAGAGAUUUAUAUUUACUCCCUCCGAUCCAUAAUAAGUAUCUCGAUUUUGCACUGACUUUUCCGAUCCAUAAUAAGUGUCUCAGAUUUUGUACUAAGUUGUACUAACUUAGUACAAAAUCUGAGACACUUAUUAUGGAUCGGAGGGAGUAUUUGUUUAGGGGGAACGGGGAAUAAGUCAGAAACAAACCAGGAAAUGGCUGUCAAACUUUGAUACUCCCUCUAUUCAGGAAUGUUUAGAGAACGAGAACCUUUGGUUUGCAGUCAAACCUCUCUAAUUUUGACUACAGAUGUAUUAAAAAAAACAUGUUUAGAUUGGUCAUGUCAAAAUGUUCUCAAGAUAUAACCAUUUUUUACAUUUUUAAGAACACCUAAAUUAAGUUGCACAUUGGAGAAAUGGCAAUGUCUAAAAUGUCAUGUAUUCGAAAAGUUUGCUAUUAUACCGCUGCUACUAAAAUUUGAUUAAUCAGAGAAAAGCUAGAUGUUUCCAUGGCGAUGUAAUGAAGAGCUAAAUUUUCUCAUGAUAAAGGAAAGAUAGACACACAAUUGUCAUAAAUAGUCAAGAGCCAUUCUCAAAUCUCUUUGCUAUUCUCCCAAUUUUACCGAACUUCCUGCUGUUACUACUCACUACCUGUACUAUUUGUCAAAAGAUAAUCCUAAUUUUAGCUUUAUAUAUCUUUCCUUUUAAUAGUAGAAUAUAACUUACCUCCUAGAAAUGUUAGGUAGAUAAACCAUUCCGUUCUUGUGUCACCUACGCUAUUGUUUGGCAGACUAUUUAUCAGCAUGUGCUGGCAUCUCCAUUCUCCAUGCUGAAUAAGUACUUCUCAUCACGAUGAAGUACUCGAUUCCAAGCUCCUCUGAAGAGAGCAAACCUGACUUUUCAUGAUUCCAAACUUCUAUUUUGGGCCCCCUCAUUAAUAUUCACAUGUUCUGCAUUGCGCCAUAAAAAUGCACGGUGUGCAGAGAGUUCACAUGGGCAGAAAUUUUGCCGAAACAAGUUCAUGGAUCUUGCUGUAUGAUAAAUACCAAGUUAAUGGUGGCCUAUUAAGAUUUCGGAAAGGGUGGCAAUCAUCCAUGAUUAUGCGCCUGUUGAUCCCCAGAAGUUGUGAUGUCUGCUUUUCUGAUGAUUACUGAUCGACUGAACUCUCCUCUGUCACAUGAUGUCCAAGAAAUAACAAAGAUGGAAGCACAUUCUGCACACAUGUCCGUUUCAAUUUUCUAGGUUUUAGUUUUCUAGUUAUUGUUGAUUGCCUGGCUAGACAACUUUUGAAGAUGUAAGUUUAAGUUUCCCUGAUGAUGACUAAGCUCUCCACUCCACUAUAACAUUAUCAAAUUGAAAAUGUCCUAGAAACUGAGGAGAUGACAGCAUGAAAAAGCUUCUAGGAUCCCAACUCAUGAUUCCAGAGGCCAAUUUUUUUAGUCUUGUUUGGCCCGCCUUUUCGCCCUUUCGGUCAGAUAAGACCAUGGGCUAAGGUGACUGCUUAGCUUUUGGUAAGCAGGAACAUAGCAGCCUCAAGAAAAUAUCUCUGAUCAGGAGGGCAAAUCUAAAGCUACGAUUUCGGAUUCUUGUCACGGCAAAGGAAACAGAAAUAUCUUGUUUUCUCAGCUCCAACCUCUGCAAGAAUAUGUGGUGUUUUACUAGGAUGGGACUUAUCUAAAUGAUCUGGUAACAGUUUUUUUUAAACCAAUAAAGCAAGGCUCUAUGCAAGCUUGCGUUGGUUAAUGACAUCAGUUGUCAAGCAACCAUAUAAGUUCAGUAUAACAUGAUAGUUUUUUUUGCGUAUUUUUUACUUUCUUGUUUGCUCGUGUAAAAUGAAACCAGUAAUUACCUAUGAACUUCCUGUUAGGAAAGAUCUUCAUAUGAACCAUCAAAAUUGUCAAGUACUUGGCAGUUAAUUAUAAGGAACAUUACAGUAAUUAUCCAUUGCUUUUAGCACGAACAUCCUAGUAUGGGAUAAUUUAUUUCCAAAAAAAUAGCUAGAUAGUGGCCUGUCUGUCAGCAACCACCAAGUCAUCAACUGGCGUUCCUUUUGUCAGCCUCAUAGCCUACCAAAACAAAAAACAAACAGCUCUUCUUGUAAAAUAUAGAUUUAGAAAUCAAAUGCAGGCAUAAUAAACAAACUGAUCCUGUUUUGUACCCUAUCUCAUUUAGGAAAGAUGCCAAAAAAUAUUUUAUUUAGUCCCCUUGCCUCUUUACUAUCUAGGGGAUCGCUAGGUGGUUACUCAACUUAUAUAUCUAAGAUGCAAUGAGUCCUGAAAAGGUGAAAGUAAACCAAGCAUAUCUCAGAUUGGUUCGAUGCAAAGCAUAUGUUGAUUUAUUUACCUAACUGUGGCGGUGGGAUUGCGAUAUAUUUCUCAAUAUAAGUUCAAGCCAAUUUUAUUAAGAAGCUUCAUGGUACAUCACUGUAUGCACCAAUAUUCACAGUGUCCACAACUCAGGGGGUUAUACAAGUCAUGAUUUCACCUAAUAACAUAAUAACACUUGCCAUGAGAGUUGAGCAGAGAAGAUUGUUUACCUAACUGUGGCGGUUGGAUUGCAACAUAUUUUGGAAAAUAAUUCAAGCUUAGCUUCAUGAUAGAUAAAUAUAUGUAUCAUUAUUCACCGGAUCGACAGCACGGAAGGUCGUACAAGUUAUGAGAUCAGCCAAGACUUCUCUCCAAUCCUAUGAACAAGAUAGCAUACUAAAACUUGAUAGGGAACUUUAUCAGAGCAUUUACUGUGCAAGACAGUGCCAUUUCUCUGACAAAUAUGAUAGCUGUGCAGUUUCUGUUUUGGUUUCUUGUAGCUUUUCUUAGCUUUCUCUCUUCUUGUACUUUCUUUCCUUUUGUAUUUGUUUUAUUUGGUUUGUAUGAAUUCUCGUCUUCUUAAAGAUUUAUUCUAAUGAAAAUGACGCACACUUAGGUGUAGGCUCGAUUUUUUUUUAUUGGGGCAUCCUCCUGUAGGAGCAGCUUCAGAUAUAUCAGACACGGACAAUGAAGGAGUGUGAAAUGCUGAGAUGUCUUGUGCCAGUUUUUUUUUUUUUUAAUCUUUGGUCCCUCUGCUACGACCUCUACAUGUAUAGUUUUUGCAGUGAUGGAAAUAAUGGAGAUUUUUCUUACAGAAGUAACGAAACUUGAAGCCUAGAAAUAUUAUAUUAUUUAAUUCCCAGAGUUAUGCCAUACUUAGGAUUAUGUUGUUUAACCUAUCCAAUGCCCAUGCUGUCAAAGAUUAGAUGCACCAAUCUGCUUAAUAAUCAUAUGAUAGCAGAGUAAACAAUCUUUUCUGUUUCCUUAAAUAAACAAUCUUCUCACACUUUUGUCAGGAAGAACUUAGGUAACUAUCAUAUCAAGUAUUAUAAUGCCACAAAUAAUUCAUGACAGAUUUGGCAUAGUGCAUUCCUAUAAUCUGAGAGUUAGUUGCUGAACUGUCUGACAACCAUGACCAGGUUCAGUGUUCUUCUCUGUUUGUCAGAUUACUGUACCAUUUGCAUUACUCUACACAAUAUCAAUGAGUAGUACAGUCUACCAUUACUAGCAUUUCCAUAUAUGGUAAUGAUGUGUCAUUGCCUGAAGCCUCACGCAACCCCUUCGAAUAUUCGAUGUAUUUGCGCAUCCUUCAGAAGUCAAUGGCAAUAAUACUGAACUGAUGGACACUUCAGAAACAUACAGACUGACAGACAAUGAAUCUCAUCUGCCCUCCAGUAUCUGUGCACUCUUGAAUCUCUUCAUUGGGUGGUACAUCCUUGUUCUGUCUCUGGCACCCAAAUUGUCCGCAAACCAGGGCACGUCUCUGCUAUAUGUGUGACAAGCAAUGCAUCAAUGCUUUGCCUUCAGUUUCAACACCUAAAGCCUAAUUUCCUGCAAGCCUUUGGCAGUGGCUCUGUACGAUGGCAAAUCAGAAGCCUGAAUGAUAUAUUCAUGUCAGUGGCUCAGUGCUUGACAUGAAAGAAAGCUCAGGUUAACUCUUUUCUGAAAGCGAAUAAAGCGAUAUCUUUCCUAGGAUACUUAUCUUUUUACCUUUAGGCCUUUUUUGCUGAUUGACACACCCAAAGAUCAUAGCAAUGUCAUAAGAAGUCACUGUUAUUUAUCAUGAUUUAUCCAUUCUCACUGUUGAGAUAAGCAGGAUUUGUUUUGGAGGUUACAGGUAACCAGAAUGUUGACCAAUGAUGCAAUCUUUCCUAUAAAGAAGCACUAGAGAACAGUCUAAUCUUGAUGCCUAGAAACCAACAAGAAUUAGGAUGACUGACACCAUAAACCAACAGUGCCUGAGUUGAGUACUCUGAUGAGAAAAAAGGUGCACCGUCCAAGGUCACCAUAUGUCAUACUAUAACCCGAUCAUUGUCUGGUUAUCUAGGCUUUCUAGCCUUUCAUGUACCUGGCCUAACGCCUACGAGGUUCAUCACUUUAUGCCGGGAUGUGCAAACCGUAGAUGCUUUAAAUUACAGCCGUGUAGUUUUACACAGAAACUAAAUUUGGCCUUUAAUCGAGCACAACUAUGUAACUGAACACAAAAUCCACAGAUUUUCCAUUGUAGUUCAUGAAAUUUGAUGAUAUUCCUGUCAAGUUGUGAACAACAUGAAGGAUAUUGAUCACGUGACUCUUAUUAGAGUAAGUGUAAGGCAGGAAAAGUGAGGUAUUUCAUAGAUUUGUUUGAAGGACUCUUGCCACAGCUCCAUUUGAACAAUAGAACUUUGCUGCCGACACCGUAUCACGUAUUCGUCAAAUAUGUCAACUCGAGUUUCCUCCAGUGAAGAGCUCUUUUACAAUACCUGAAAUAAACAUGAGCCGUCCAUUUAUGUCAAUCGGAUGGAUGAUUUUUGUUGGUACUCCAUUACAGAUAGAGAGGAGUACGACUUCUGAGUACCAUAAGAUUAGGGGUAAAAUGAUAAUUAAAAGAUAAUUACUCAGGACUUUCGUGAUUAAGAAAACCCUAAGAAAAUACCUACCCAAUCCAUUCGGUUCUAUUCUCCUCUGGCCGGAGAGGCGGCGGUUGCUUGAUUAGCCUGCCGGCCGGCGAACUAAGAACAGAUCACAUACUUGAACUAGCGGAAUCGAUCAUGGACACCAACGUACAACUUUGAAUGUGAUGGGGGUUUUAAACGGUGCAUGCAAUCCCGACUAUACUAUCCAGUAAAAUUGUGGUCUCCGCCGGCUUGAUGGUCAUGAUGGUAGAUUUCAGAUCUCUAUGCCCGACGUUAUUCAUGCAAGGCUGCAUCAACGACGAUUAUAGGGUUGGAUCCGAUUAAUUUGAAACCUAAAUGUGCCUUGGGAGCUUCUACGUCGGGAGGAUCAAACGGCGGCCGGCGGCCGGCGGAUCUGCUCGAUUCUGGAAGAAGGGUCCCAGGAAAUUGCCCACGGAUCUGCGGUUGACGAGGGUCACAUGGCAAUUGUCUAAUAUACCCUUUUUUUUAGGGAAACUAAUAUACCCUCUUAGAUGAAGGGUCAGAUUUAUUUGGUACUCCGGUUCUCAUCAUGGAGUACUAGGGUACCGUAAAAACUAUCCCAGUGAAAGGGAAGUUGCGAAGCGCAAUUCCAGCCUAUUAUAACCAGUCAAGCUUUCACUCCCCAUGAGUUCCAUCCACAUUUUCCAACAGCAGUGUGUUGAUCUUGUUCGAGACUCGCAUGAUUUGUUUGUUUCACUCCAUAUCUCACUUCAUUUCUCCAUUUGCAGCUGGCUUGUUUCUCUCUAAGGCAUUUGAUGACAUGCAAGGAUGCAUGAUCGAUGUUACUACUAACCACUCCAAUUACAUAGUUGUGUUCGAUACUUUGUGUUCAGUUACAUAGUUGUGCUCGAUUAAAGGCUAAACCAGGAGUAGACAGCAAAGUCUUGAAUGCAAGCAGGUGGAGAUGAGGUAUAUAUGCAAGUAGCCGAUCCAAAGGGGUUGACGGCGACGUACUUAUAUAUGGCGCGUUUCCAAUGGCAGCGCAGUCUUCGUUGGGCACCAAACGAAUGAGGAUCUACUGGAGUGAGGUUUCUUGUGAUUUGUAACUGCUUGUGUUGAAUGAAUGAUCCAUGCUCUGUAUUUGACUUGAACUUGGUGACGGCCUGCUCUGUACCAGAACUCCAUAAAUUUUUAUUAUUAUCAUAAAACACCCGUCUUUUCAUUCAUUUAAUGCCAGGUGUUUAUGUUUACAGUCAUUUAGCCAAACAUCAUGGAUUCCCCUCUGGGACAGAUCCCAGGACUGAGAAAGACGCAUCGGUCUCCUUACUUAGUCUCGCUAGUUCAUGAAACUCCAUACAUUUUCCAGAAGCUUAAUUUGGUGCGUUUAUUCAAAAAAUUAAUUUAGUGUAUCUUGUGAUCAAUAUGGGAACUUAUUCACCCACAAGGCAUAUAAAUCUGCUGUCAAAUAUAGAAAAAAAAUUGAAAGUGAAAAAAGGAAGUAUAAUGAAAAAAAAGGAUAAAAUGCAUGUGACGCCAAUACUUAAAGGAACCGAGAACUGAUAUUUAAAAUUUCAACAUUUCAAGUAGAUUUGGGCAAAACUGUGAUGUACCUAGUGCCGCCAUGAAUUGGAACUGUGGCAUUCACAGACCUUAUACUUGUACUAGCAAUCGUGGCCUGCACCAACGCUCUCUUUUUGCUGCUCUAUGCCUCAUUUCCUAGUCCCUCGGAUUUGGCGCACAACUCGUGAUGUUUCCCAGGUACCUGCAACGCCGCAUGAAUUAUGAAUAUGUCUGAUGUGUCCUCGGGCCUGGCAAACCCGAUGUGACUCCUCGUCUACGAAGACUUCAACAACAUAGGUCCCUCAUCCGUCAGGAAUUUAGGACAAAAUUACGGAUCGAAGAGAUUAUAUUUCUUCAAAAAAAUUAGCACCGAGAAGACAAGAAAAAACUGAAACAAAAAUGAUGCCAAAAAAUGGAAAUGUAGAAAUAAAGAAAGAGAAACAAAACCAAAAAUAAAGUGAAAAGUAAAGAAAAGUUCCCCAGCAUUCUUUUCCUAUCAUGUUUUCAGUCUCUCCGAUUCAUAAAACGUCGUUUGGUGUUUUUCAGCCACAAAAGUACUCCAUCCGAUUUAUAAAAAAUGUCGAAUAGUAUAAAAUGGACGCCACUUUUUAUGAAUCGGAGAAAGUAAUAAAUUACAAAUACCUACUCGUCUCCUGUUCAGCCCCUGGUUGAGAAAAUCCUUAAACGAAUUGGUGGGGGGAGGGGUAAGCUCCUGUCUUAUGCUAGGAAGCUGGUUCUCAUCAAAACUUGUUUAGCGAGCAUUCCCAUCUAUCUUUUAUCCUUCUUUAAGUUCCCUAAAUGGGCCCUCAGCCUGAUCAACACCCAGAUGGCAAAUUGACUUUGGAGUGACUAUGAGGGCCAUAGAAAACUGCACCUUGCCAAUUGGCACUUAGUUAGUUCUCAUAAAGAUUUUGGGGGAUUAGGUAUUCCCUGUCUUCGGAGAUGUAAACCUCUGUUUGUUAGGGUCUUGGGUCAAACGAUUCUUCCUAGAUGAGGGGAAGAUCUGGCACACUAUUGUUGGUAGAAAGUACAAUGCUCAUAACCCACACAUCUUCAAUAGUAGAACUACUGGCAUCUCCCGGUUCUGUAAAGGAGUUAUGUGGGCAGCCCAAUCAAUAAAAUUUGGUUAUUGGGUGGGUAAUGGACAACAUGUCAGAUUUUGGGAGGACACCUGGUUUGGUACCUCUCCACUGGCUGUCUAAUUCUUUCCCUUAUAUGAACUCUGUAAUGAACAAUUCAAGAUUGUUGCUUUUAUUUUGGAUGGUCACAACUUAAAACUUACUUUUCGAAGGAAUUUCUCCCCUAGACUUAUGGAGCAGUGUCAUGCUUUAGAACAGAUUGUUUUCAAUACUAUCCUUUCUGAUGACAUUGACUCUGUAAUCUGGAAGUACACAGCUUCUGGUAUUUACUCCACAAGCUCCCUGUACAAAAUUAUUAACUUUUGAGGGGUGACUCCUCUGUUUAUCCCUGCUGUGUGGUCGCUUAAUGCUCCCCCAAAGAUUCACAUCUUUCUCUUGCUGGUCAAUAAAGACAAGAUAAUGACUAGAGAUAACUUGCUAAAAAGACAUAUUCAUAAACCUCUUGAUUGUGUUUUUUGUACCGAAAAUGAAUCUGUCCAUCACUUAUUUUUUGAGUGCAUUGUUGCUAAACACCUUUGGGCCACUGUUUCUACCAUUCUUGGCAGACAUUUGGGGUCUAAUUUUGAGUCUAGUGCCAGUUUAUGGAUUGCCAAUAAAAAGCUAUCUGUUAUCAACAUUUUCUGUGCUGCAGUUCUGUGGAGCAUUUGGACUUUUGGCAAUAGCAUGAUUUUUGAUAACCAACUUUGGAUUUCCUCUAAACAGAUUUGGUGGUUAAUCCUGCAGUCACUCCGGAAAUGGUCGCUGCUGUUCAGAGAUUCUGUGCUGGACAGAGUGGACUCCUUCUGCCAAGAGGUGUCUCGUAUACUGGGGAUGCCUCUGCUACUGCCUUGGAUUUAAGUGUGCCUCUCUCUGGCUCCUCCCCAACUGUUUCUGUGUUACCAGGUACCUUUCCUCCGCCGACGGGCACACCUGAGAUGAAGCUCGUGGUGACGUCGGGCAGCUCGGUUUCAGUCCUUGAACAGGGCUUGACUCCCCAGGCUGGUCUUCUGCAGGGGGAGGUGAUCAGGUCCAAGUUGAGCGAGGUCGUCCGCCAAUUCUCUACUCCGGCCGACGCUACACCAGACCAUAUUUAACGCUCUGCAAAAAUAUGUAGUUCGCUGCUGUGUGCUUAGCUUGUAACCGCCCUCCCUCCCCCCGUCCUGCUGUUCUCUUUUUCAGACUUCUUUACUAUCUUGUUGUUGAGCAUGUUUGUUACAGACCUGUUGAUCUAAAAAAAAAAACUCGUCUCCUGUUAAAAGUAAAACUGAACCCGGGGAAAUUGCCUCUUUAGAUGCCAGCAUGGAGUUAAAACAUGUAUGCGCACCAAACCUCUUAGGUUGCACCAAUGCAUACAAGAAUAUCUACAGCCCUAAUGGCUAACUUAAACCGAGAAAACAUUCUCUCUUUUUUACGAAACAAUAAUCAACGGGUUAUUUAUUGCCAAAGUACGGUCGAAAAAUUUCGACCGCGGAAGAAGUGGGUUUAUAAGAAAAACUGGGCAGAAAACCGAACACAAGAAACACAGAAAAAGAAUAAAAAAACUUGGAAAAUCUUUCCACUUAACCAGACACAAGCAGAUUUCUUUUUUAUUUUUUUGACGAAAAUGCAGAAGCGCUGCCUUUCAUUACUUAAGGGGGAGUUAGAGAUUUAAUUACAAACAUGAAACAACAGAUGAGACGGAGGUGGGGAGCAACUACAGCUGGAGGAAAAAAGGAGCAUGUAACUCGAGAGUGCGAACCCUGUGAAACCACAUUUGCUCAAUCAUCUAAAAGGAGGCGACAACAGCACAACCGGCUGAUUUCCAUGAGAGGAGCUCCUCGCGGGCAUGGUCACAGAGACUCGACAUUGAGCGUUGCUUGGAGUGAAACAUUACGCUCAAGCCAGAGCAUCCACCAACCGAGCAUCACGGCAGCCCUCAGGCGGUUGCGAUGCAAAAUGGAUCGGCAAAGAUGAUCUUCAUUGGACCACCAGUCAGCAGUAGAGCUUCCGGAGAGGUGAGGCGGCGACCGGAUGCGGACGUUGAUCAUGGGGAGGAAAUUGGCCCAGAAUUGAGCUGAGAAGGUGCAAAGCAUGAAAAUCUGAUUGACAGUUUCAGGAGAAGAUCCACGAGCUGGCACGUCGGGUUGUGCGGGAUACCUUUGGUUGCUAAUCUGUCAGCAGACUGAUAUAGAUACAUAUGUUGGCAAUAGUAGUUCUGCAAGUACUCAUCAGAAUCAUAGCCUUGUUUUAUUCGAGUACUCCUCCGCAUCUUAUAGCUUGUGCAGUCCUGCUCCGACAGCUCGCGGAGAUGAACGGAGAGAGGCACCGCGCGAUCGAGAGCCAAGUCGAGGACGAACUGCAGACGAACGCUGCUUACUCGGUCGCGGACAGACGAAGGCAACUGACGACGAGUCGAGUUUACGAACGGCAAGCCUGGGCUCGCCUGUCGUCUCCAAGGUAGAAGCAGCUGCACCCACAGGGGAUCAAAACUAAACAAUUUCCUAUAGUUAAUUUCCUAAUUACACAUGCUAGUCAAGCACAAGACUGGAGGUACUAGAAAUCUGAGUGUUUUCUUUGGUUCCCUCUAAUAUCUCACUUGUUUAUAGAUUCACUCAUUUUUCUCUACACUUAGGUCUGGUCGACAUGGAACAUAAUGUUGGAAGGGUUGCCGUAAAGAUGUUCAGUACUGAAUUUUCUUAUUCGGAAGCUAUAAAUAUCUAGCCCAAGGGGUCUAUAACAAUGCAUUUCCAAUGACUCAAUGACAUCACUUAACUGAAAUUAACGAACUAAUGAAGAAAUCAGAUACGCGUGAAGAAAAGACGCUACAAAACAGGGGUUCAGAAUGGUGCUCCCCAACUAAAUGGAUGGCUCAUGCCCUAGCGGCUACUGGCACAAAGAUGGAACAGCUUCACCAAGCCGUUUGGCACGGUGGUGUUCCUGACUUUGUCCAGAACCUUGCUGUGAGCGAUAUUGUUCAUACAGUUUAAGUAAUGAAAAUAUCCCCAUCUAAAAAAAAAGACGGUUCAUGGUUUUGCUUAUUGGGUUGCUUUUUUGUGUGUGUAUUUUGAUUCUUUCUUUGUGAAUUUAAACUUUGACGACCUUUGAUCCCUAUGACCUGUACAGUUCUUCCUUUAAUCGAAUGACGGAAAUAAACCGUCUUUUCCUCAAGCGAAAAACUUUAAGGACAAACAACAAAGAAAGGAAUUGCCUGCUACGCUGACAAAAAUGAACGACACAAACACUCAUUAUCUGUUCAUCAGAGACUCACAAUCUAUCUGUACCGUCCUUUUAAUAUGGAGCAAAAUCAAUUCCCUAGAUCUGUUUGUUUUACUCUGCAGUAAAAUUUGAGCAAUUCUGCAAUCUUUCCCGUGGGGAAGCAGUAGAGAACAGUCUAAUCUUGAUGUCUAGAAACCAAUAAGAGUUAGGAUGAUUGACAUCGUAAGCCACCAGUGUGUUUGUGGAGUAUUCUGAUAGCCGACGGUGCCGGGAAGCUGGAACCAAAGAUGGAACACGUGGUGCACAGUUCAUGGUCACCGUAUGUCAUAGACAAAAAUAUAUUUUCCGUCUCUCAAUUUAUCAAAAAGUACGCAAAUGGUCUCUUAAUUUUUUUAUAUAAAAGUAAGUCCCCGAAUUGUUAAAACCGGACACUGAUGGUCAAUCAACCAGUCAUGGAUCUACUUGAGUUUUUUCUUGGUUUUUGAGACAAAACUAACGAACUUGAGGUUUAAAAAGAAAUCUAAUACCAACACGCAUGCAACCGUGGGAAUUCAGUGAGAAAAAUCAUGGCACACUGGCACCAAAACCGCUUUAGACGGGUUGAGGGACCAUUGAUGUCUGGUUUUGACUAUUGGGGGACAAAAGUAUAUGAAAAAAGUUUAGAUACCAUUUGCGUACUUCUUGAUAAGUUGAGGGAUGAAAAAUAUACAUUUCUCGUCAUACUAUAACCCAAUCUUUUGUCUGGUUCUUCACUUUUGUAGCGUACAUAUAGGCUUUUUAGUAUUUCAUGUCCCUGGCCUGCGGCCCUGUUUGUUUGGGUUUCAGUUUCAGCUUUUGGUGCUUUUAGCAAUCUCAAAAACACUUCUCAUUUUUACACAUGAAGUGUAAACAGGAGAAGUGAUUUUGGUGCUUCUCAGCUUCAUGUGUAAAUAUGAGAGGUGCUUUUGAGAUUGCUAAGAGCACCAAAAUCUGAAGUAAAACCCAAACAAAUAUAGCGUACAUGUUUUCAUGCUGGGGUGCACAAACCUUAUACGUUUUAAACCAUACCUCAGUAAUUUUACAUGGAAACUAAAUUUCGGGUCGAUGAGCCGGUAAAAUAGAGAAAAUUACCUUAAAACCACCACAUUUGAGACACGUAUCUAAAAAAACCACUUUACUUUUUUUUUAUUUUCAAAUCAUCACCAUUUUUAGGACCGGUACUCCGUUGAUAACCUUCAGAUGCAAAAACUGACAAUGGGAUUCACAUGUGGCGCCACACUGGACAUGCCGUCCGAGCUGUCCCAUCUAUGUCUUGCACAAAUUGGUCCCGUUCCCUUCUCUCUCCGGCGGCCACUGCUCCUGCGGGCUCCGCCGCCCGUCCUCCUCCAUGCCAAGUUGCCCCCGUCUCCAUCUUCUUCCCCUGGCCUUCAUCUCUCUUCUCCUCCCCGAGCUCUUCUUCUCCCCAUCUUCCCUCGUUUUCUCAAGCCGAGCCUGGAGAAGACGACGAGCGCGAAGAUGUGCGUCGCCAUCCCCGUGGUACAGGUCCGCCCGCCAAACGCCACUGCAGGUCCGUCCGUGCGCCGCCUGCAACACGUGCCGCUGCAAAUCAGCUUGUGCGCCGCUCGCUUUCCCGCAGAGCCCAUGCGAUGCCGCCAGCGCUGUUCGCAGAUCCCAUGCGUUGCAGUACCUCCUCCGCCCUUUCGCGCAGAAGCCCAACCCUGGCGCUAUCUCCCUCCCCAGCCACCUCGAGAUCCCGCCGCCACCGCACCAGCCCCCUCGAGACCCCGCCACCGUGGCCGCCCUCGGCUUCGAUCCACGCGAGCUCCAGCCGCCCCGCGUCGGAGCCCGACCCUGGAGCUUCGUGCCCGCCGUUGCGGACGCGCUCUGUACCCGUGGCGAGCCUCCUGACCCAUGCCUCGUCUGACUCGCUGAGGUUCUUGCUGGGCUUGCGUUGGCAGCGCGGGGGCUGUUGAGCGCCUCGGCGCAUGCGCCACCUAACAAAGAAGCUUUGAUUUGGGAGAUUUUGGGGUACCUUUGGUGGGAGGAGAGUCGGGGUUGGGAGGAGGAGACGCAGGCGAGGGCGUCCUCGCCGCCGGCGAAGGAGAUGAAAGCACUGACCUAGAAAAUUGCGGCGGCGGCUUCGUCUGUGAGAGAGACAGAGACAGGGGCAGCCGGUUCAGACCCCUUGUCGAACAUGGCGCCACGUGGCACCGGCAGGUGGGUCUUCAUGUCAGUUUUACCAUCAAAAUGUAUUCAACUGCGAAAUCAGUGCGCGGAGUACCUCCGACCCUCAAAACGUUGGUGAUUUGAAAAAAAAAAUGUGGUUUUCUUAUAGAUGUGCCUCAAAUGUGGUGGUAUUGCGUAAUUUUUUUCGAUAAAAAUAUAAUUAGGAUGAUUGUUUUUAUCUUGCGGCAGAUUGGGUCAAUAUCUCCUUUGUUCACUGUCCCCGUGAAGUUGCCUAUGUGGUCGAUCAGCUUGCGAAAUUCUCCUCUCCUUUGGUUUGGUUUGGUUAGAGCAUCCCUGAUAAUAUUGUACCUCUUCUUUUAAAAGAUGUAACCAUGAUCGAUAAUGAAUAAAAAAGUGAGUACUUUACUUGGUAAAAAACAUAUAACUAGGAUUAGCACUAAUUAAUCGUUACAUUCUAAUUAACUGAAUAUCCGGCCAGUUUAGGUUAACAAGAUUUCCCAAUUCGUUUCCAAAGAUUAUGGUAGUUAAAAUUCCCAAUGAAAAUUAGCCAGAAAUUUAGCCCCGUAUUCAUGUCCCAUGUCUCUUCCCAAAUACCCCAACCGAGUAGCAUCUACAUACCCAAAAAUUCCUCUCAUCUUCAUAUACACCAAUGCUCUAAAUGUAGUCGACCAGCCGAUCCUCCGCUCUUUACUGGCAGCGCAUUCGGAUGCUACGAAGGAGAUGGAGUAGGAGACGGCGGCAGUGCAGACGGUGGCUCCGGAGCAAACGGCGGCGGUGGCGACUGCGAUCGUGCUCCGGCCUCCGACCAGUCGCGACCCCUGCUCGAACCCGGCCCUGAUUUGGAUCUGAUGGAACGGAGGCCCGACCCGCUAUCCCGGCUACUAAUCCAUCCACAUUUUCCAAAAACAUUGUGUUGAUCUUGCUCAUUAGUAGCGUGAUUUGUUUGUUUCACUCCAGUAUCUCACUUCAUUUCUCGAUUUGCUCGCUUGUUUCUGCCUUCGACGAUGACAUGGAUGCAUAUAUGCAUGAUCAUGAUCGAUGUUACAGCAAAAAGCCUUAAAUGUAAGAAGGCGGAGAGGAGGUUCGUGUGAGUAUUAAUAAGUAUCCGAUCCAGAAGUAUUAUGUGGGGCUUGCAACCCAGCCCACCCAGCCCAGUCUUUCUUGGGCACCAAACGAAUGAGGGAUCCGCUGGAGUGAUGUUUCUUCUGUUUGGUAACUGCUGCGUGAACGAAUGAAUGAAUGAUCCAUGCUCUGCAUUUAACCUGGUGCCCUAAUAGGUACCAGAACUUCAUACAUUUUCUAGAAGCUUAAUUUGGAGCAUUUAUUCAAAAAUAUAAUUUUGUGUGUGUCUUGCAAUCAAUAUGGGAAUUCAUUCACCCACAAGGCAUGUAUUGACAGAUCUAGGAAAAGAAAGUGGAAAGUGAAAAAGGAAAAAAAAUAGUAUAAUGCAAAAUAGGAUAAAAUGGUGGCGCCCGCACCCAAAUUGUGAUGUCAAUACUUAAAACAACCGAGGGUAUAUAAAUUUUAAAAAUUUCAAGGAGAUUUUGGCAAAGCUGUGAUGUACCUUGCCAGGAAUACGUUUGAACUCAGAAGUACUUCAGGAAUUAAAUCAUUCAUCAACACUCAGGAAAUGAUUUUUUAUUAUAAACUAUUUGUUUCCAGGGUAAUUUUGAAUUGUUUCUUCUUCUUCUUCUUCUUCUUCUUCUUCUAUUUUACUGUUCUGCGUUGUAAUAAUAUCCAAAGACUUCAUGCUGCAACCGUAGUCUGCACCAGCACCAGCACUCCCUUUCGCUGCUGAUCUACGCCACAAUCGUAUUGGAGGCCUCAUUUGCUAGUCCCCGCCCUUCUAGGCGCUCUCGUCACUGCCUGCCCGCGGUCGGCACUAGGGGGUGUGUGGCCAUCUUCUGGAACUCCGACAUCGUCGACAUUUCGAACCCGCAAGUUCUCCCAUUCUCGAUCACGGCCGUCGUCACCAUCAUCCACACUGGCGUUGCUUUCAUUCUUUCCACCGUCUACGGUUCCUCGGACGGGCUUGAGGACGACGCGCUCAAGCCCGCAUUUCUCCAGGAAAUGCGGGACAUCUCGCCGGGGCCCGGAACACCGUGGCUCAUCGCCGGUGAUUUCAACCUCAUUUACGAAGCCUGCGACAAGAACAACCUCAAUCUUUGCAGGCGUCUCAUGGGUCGAUUCCGCGCGGCUAUUGACCAGGCUGAGAUUUUUGAGAUCCGCUGCUCUAACCGGCGCUUCUCAUGGAGCAAUGAACAAGCGCGCCCUACUGUAGUGAAGCUUGAUCAUCUCUUCUGCAACGCGGCUUGGGACGGCCUCUUCGCGCCCUGCGCCGUGCAAGCUCUCUCCACAGCGCACUCUGACCACUGUCCCCUCCUCCUUGCCUGUUUCUCCCUGCCCUCGCAUGGCGCGUUUUAGAUUCGAGAACUUCUGGACAAAGCACCCCGGAUUCAGCGAGACUGUGAUCACGGUUUGGUCAGAAGAUGUACGCUCGACCAAUCCUCUUCGGCAGCUCCACAUCAAGCUCCGCCGCACUACUCGUGCUCUUCGCUCCUGGAGCAAGAGCCUCUUCAGCGACGCCCGCCUUCAGCUCUUCCUUGCUCUGGAGAUUGUGUUUCGGCUCGACACCGCGCAGGACCUCCGCUGCCUCACGCCCCUGGAAUUCCACCUGCGUCGAGCGCUCAAGGCUAGGGUGUUGGGGUUGGCCGCCGUCGAGCGUGCGCGUCGGCGUCAGGCCUCCCGACAGGUCUAGCUCAAGAAGGGCGACGCGAACACCCGGUUCUUCCACAUCAAGAUCAAUUCGCGAAGACGCAGGAACUUUCUGCACCAGAUCACCACCGACUCUGGCAUCCAUGUUGCGCACGAUGACAAGGCCCAUGCGCGUCUGCAGCACUUCACCGGCGUCCUCGGUGCCACGGCUCCGCGCUCCCGUGCGCUGGCAUGGCAGGAGCUCAAUCUGCCCACGAUCCCGGCGGCUGGGCUUGACAAUCCCUUCUCCCUUGGCGAGAUUUGGGAUGCCAUCGUCGCCUCUCCGGCGGAGAAGGCGCCGGGACCGGACGGGUUCACCGGCUCCUUCUACCGGACCUGCUGGGCGACGAUCAAGCUCGAUGUACUUGCUUCCUUUAACCACCUGUUUCGGCUGGCUGGCGGGGAUUUCGGCGCCCUCAACUCUGCCUUCAUCCCCCUGCUCCCCAAAAGGAUCACGUCUCCUCGGUGCACGAUCUACGCCCCAUCAGCCUCAUCCACUCCUUCGCGAAGCUCUUCUCCAAGGUGCUUGCCCGCCGCCUCACGCCGCUGAUGGGCGAUCUCAUCUCGCCGGCGCAGAGUGCGUUCCUCAAGUCCCGCUGCAUCAGAAAUAUUGCUCGCGCUCUACACCAUCAGAAGAAACCGGCCCUCCUCAUCAAAUCGACUUCGCCAAGGCCUUUGACUCCGUCUCGUGGGAAUACUUGCAGGAGCUCAUGCAGCGACAAGGGUUCCUUGCUAGAUGGCGAGACUGGACCGCGCUCUUACUCUCGGCGGCAUCCUCCUCCGUGCUGCUGAACGGGACCGUCGGCGAGCCGAUCUUGCACCGGCGUGGGCUGCAUCAGGGGGACCCGUUGUCCCCCCUUCUGUUCAUUCUUGCCAUUGAUCCGUUGCAGCGGCUCCUCCCGUGCCACGAAGCUAGGAGGCCUCACGCCGCUUCCGAUGCACCAGGCCGCUCUGUGCGCUAGCCUCUACGCUAAUGAUGCCAUCGUUUUCAUCAACCCCAUUCGCGACGAGCUCCACCUCCUUCUGUGGAACCUCGAGGACUUCGGUCACGCCAGGGGUCUGCGCAUCAACAUUGCCAAAAGCGUUGUCACCCCCAUCUGCUGCGACAACAUUGACCUUGACGACAUCCUUCAGCCGUUCGCCGGCGAGCGGGUGGCAUUCCCGUUCCGGUAUCUCGGGCUCCCUCUCUCGCUCGGGAGGGUGAGCCUCUUGCACCUUUAGCCCAUCCUAGACCGUGCCCGCGCCCGGCUAGUUGGAUGGAAGGGCCACUGGCUCAGCGCCGGUGGGCGACGGACUCUGUCCAUCGCUGUCCUUGGCGCCCUCCCCGUCUUUGCCAUGACAGCUCUCAAGCUUCCCAAGGCCUUCAUCAACACCUUCAACAAGAUCCGACGUCGCUUCAUCUAGGGCGUGGAGGAUGACGAGUGCGCCGGCGGCAAGUGUAAGAUCAACUGGGCCAGGGCGUGCUCCCCGUUGGAUUGUGGUGGGCUCGAUUUGCCAAACCUGGAGGCGUUCGGUAGGGCGCUGCGCUUGCACUGACUUUGGCUUGAGUGGCCGGCUCCGGACAGAUCAUGGGUCGGCACGCCCACGCCUUGCGACGCCCUUGACUGCGACAUGUUCUAUGCGGCCACCCAGGUCUCCAUCGACAAUAGCAUCACGGCCAGUUUUUGGUGCUCCAACUGGAUUGGCGGGCGGCCCCUGCGCCUCGCCUACCCUAUGCUCUUUACGUGCUCUCGCCGCAAAGGGAGGACGGUGGAACAGGCCAGCACCGGAAAUCGUUGGAUCCUCGACCUGCCUAAUGAUCGGUCCCUGCCUUUUCUCUCUGAAUUCCUCCUGGCGUGGGGAGAGCUACAUCAGGCCAUCUCCCUCCGGCCUGCUGUGCCGGACGCCAUUCGUUGGAUCCUCACGGCCGAUGGCAACUACUCGGCACGCUCCGCGUAUGGGCUGCACUUUCUGGGUCAGACCGCCUCCGAGCUGCCGCAGGCGGUAUGGCGGGUCUGGGCGCCGCUGAAGCACAAAUUUUUUGCCUGGCUCCUCUUCCUUGAUCGGCUCUGGUGCGCUGACCGGCUGCAGCGGCGAGGAUGGCCCAAUUGCUACUUCUGCCCACUUUGCCGCCGCAACCUGGAGACUUCGGUGCACCUCUUCAUCGAGUGCCCUUUUGCCAGUCUGCUAUGGGAGGAGAUCGUAUGCUAGCCCAACUGUCGCGCCCUUGCAACGGCUCUCCGCGAGACGCCUACCUCCAUCACCCUCUUCCAAGACCGGGUGACUCAGGACACCGCGAUCAGUCACAGAAACGGCAUCGGCUCCCUCUUCCUCCUCGUCUACUUCUCCAUCUGGCGCGAACGAAAUGCAAGGAUUUUCAACGACAGAUCAACGCAUGUUCGUCAGCUCGCCGUUUUCAUCAGGGACGAGGCGCAGGAAUGGGCGUUCGUGGGGGCUAAGGCUCUCAGGAAUCUUCUUUGGGAGCCGCCCUGAGCUUGAGGGGUUUUUGGGCCUUCAUUUUUUAAUUUCGCUCUUGUUUCCCCUUUACCUGUGUGGUAGCCUUGUAUAUAUUCUCUUCUGCUAAUAUAUGAAAAGCCAGCGCUUGCUGGAUCUUUAAAAAAAAUGCUAGUCCCUCGGGCAUGGCGUAUUGGUAAAACUGGUAGGUAUCUUCAUCACCGACUUGUCCCUAGGCCUGGCAAAUUCGACGUGAUGCCUCUUCUAUGAUGACUUCCCUCGUAGUCAAAAACAUUUUUUUGGAGUAUCACCGAAGGGCAGUUUUGACUUUUCAUAUUUCCACAUAAUUAAAAGAACUAAAAAAUCAGAGUUCGACGGGCUCUGUCCUGAUUCCAGCCCGCAACCGCCGCCGCCCUCUGCUCUACUUCAACGCCAGCAUGUUCGUGCAUGAGUUGAGCAUGGCCAUGGCCAUGGCGCUUCUCGAGAGGCUCGUCAUCACCGACCAGACCCGUUCGCGGAGCAGGAUUUCCUCAGUGUUCUUCAGGGAAUAGUUAAUGGAUCUGUAGCUACCUCUGUUUCUUGAUUAUUGGUUGAUUAAUUGAUUACGGGUCGAAGCCGUGGAGAUUUACGGGGGAGGAGGAGAACAUGGAGAGGGAGGAUGUGAAGAUGCCGGUGAAGAAAUGGUGGAUGCGUACAACGACGAGAGACUCCACUCCGAUUGAUGCGAGAGCCAGCGCUGCAGCCAUUCUCGUGGGUCGCGGCCCCUGUCCUACCAGCACGCCGCGGUGUCGCUGCCACAUCCCCAUCCCGUGGCCGCUGCCUCCGCCCUCUCAGCCCGCGCCGCCGUCGGCCUCACAGCCUUCCCAGCCGGUGGUGCUGUCCUCCAAGGCUCCAAGGGCGCACUGCCGUCGCCGUCUCAGCCGUCGGUCGCCGCUGCCGUCUGAGUAUUCCGGCGAACAGAAAAGGAAAUUGUCGUUUUCUGUUUCCGCCGAUUUUUGUCUGUCUCUUACGUUUCUACCCCUGGCUUCAGCCUCCUUCUUUUCGGUUUCUAGGAUGGGCUUCUCCAAGAAGCUGCUCUCACCCAGCUUCCGCAUGUGAAACUUAGCAAAAAAUUUAGGACGGCUUCUCCUGGAAGCUUGGGGAGAGCAACUUCUCCGAGAAGCCCAUCCUGGAAGCUGAAAAAAAGGGGGCCAAUACUCCGUCUUGGUUGAGGAUUGUUGUAGUAAAAUAAAAUUCUUAAAUGGGCCGGGCCGUAAAUCCUACGUGGCGACGACCAAGUCAACAUUUCCCGACCAUGAGUCAAGACGCCCACGUGACGCGGUCAAUCCUACGUGGCAAAGGAAGACAAGUCAACAAUUCAAAGCCUCUCAUGCCAUGGUCAAAAGGUCAAAUGAGGUAGAGUAGGAGGCAAGAAAGGUGUGAGGAGGGGGCCCUUAGUCCAUGGUGGACCAUUGACCAAUCCCCUCUUUUCCCCAUGUUGCACACAAAAGCUAUGGAUCAAAGGAGCUACUUUUACCACUUUACCCCCACUUUUCUCUCUCCCUCAAGGGUAGUCAUGGUCUUUUGUCAUGGACCUCUAGGCUAUAAAUACCUCUCAUGGGGGCAUGUAUUAUUCACUCUCAACUUGAAUAAACUCAAGGAGAGAGGGCUAGAGCCUCUAGCAAAGAGCUCUAGUUUCGAGAUCCAGGAAGACUCGUUCGGGCCGGACUCGAAGGAGAAGGGGUUGGGUUAGAGUUCCGAGGGUAUCCUAACCUCGAUACUUGGAAAGACGCGUUCGGUCCAAGUACGAGACGGCCCCGACGAACCUCUUGCCAAAAGGUGUCUUGGGAAGAUCCUCUCGGCCCAAGCCCUUGGCUAACAACCCCCUCGAAGCCUUUCCUAACAUAGGAUUAAGUCGCACCCGCAGGGUUGACCGAACCUAUGCAAAAAAUAUCGACGUGUCAACUUGUCCAAGUGUACGACGACCUUCGCUAUAAGGUUGGCGUACACGCCCUACUUUUAUACCCGCACUUGUGCCAUUGAUCAUUGGCACCCUUUACUCUAAUUGUUGUCGAGAACAACAACAAGGAUAAUACUCCGCAGAUCUAAAUUGGAGUGUUAAGGAGUACUGGCUAAUCUGUGCCCUUAGAUUGGAAAAAAGGACGGUCCAAAUUAAUUUUAGGGUACUGUAAUCUUGAAUUUUUUUUUGAUACAUUAACACAUGAACAUAUUUCAUGAAACAAAUAAACAUUUAAACAUUUGCGUACGUCCUACAUGAAAACUUUAAAAAGUUCAUUUUCAAGAGACAGGUGAAUUGGUGUGCACUUAGUUUUGGUCAGGCAGGGAACAGGCCAUGAUCAUCCUCGUAUAUAGAAAAUUAAGUAACUAACAGAAAAAAACCCAAAGAAGAACCAAGAUUGAGAGCAGUGUCACAUCGAUUUUGUUUGAAAAAUUUGUGCCACAUGUUGGCUUGAACCCUCGUCAUAUAGACCUUGUUGCGGCAACCAUGUUAUGCCAUAGCUAAUGCUGUCACAUCCACUCAAGUUCCCUCUGAUGCAGAAAAAGUGGUUAAAUGCAGUUUUUUUAAUAGCUUGUUACAAUAACCCUCGGUUCAAGCAUGCUUCAUUUUGUUUCACUCCAAUGUCUGCUUUAAUUUUUUUCACUGGGUCACAGUAUCUUCCAGACCUCGAUAAAAGGAACUACCACGAUCAACCUUACAAAAAAAACAAAAUGGUUUUGGUAAAGCUAGCUACGAACAUAUCUUUUAGAGUGAAUUCCAUUUUUGACCUCCAAGUUUUUUGAUUUGGGCUUGUUGUUACGGUAUGACUGAAAAAUUGUGGUUUUCGGACAAAUUAGCAAAAGCGAGCACCACGUGAGAAGACUGUCACGAAAUGUGUGGUUUUUGUGAAAUUUACUCUUAACUAAUCAUCCCAGAACAAAAGAAGAGAGUUAACGUUUUGAAGCAUUAUGUAGAACAUGUAAAGUACAGAACUGUAGUCUGGUGUAGAGUAAAAUCAACAAAGUGCCCUCUCGCAGAUCUGUUUAAUGACGGCGGUGAUCAUUGACGGUUCAGAGAUUUGUAAUCCUUUCAUCGAUAAUAGCAAACCUGGUCCAGCCUUCAGGAACCAAAUUUGUGGAACUAACAGAAGGAAAGAAACAAAUUCCGAUCCAAACUAACUAAUUUCCCAAGUUAAUUGCUAACUACCGGAGCUCUGGCAAGCCAAGACAGGAGCUGCUCUACGGAAAACCAUGGGGUAGUUCUGCUACAAAUCUGCGUGUUUUGUUUGGUUCACUCCAAUAUCUCAUUUGUUUGUAGAUUCAGUAUUUUUUCUAUGCAUUGAUGUCAUGUUGACGUGGAACAUAUUGUUGAAAGGAUUGCCAUAAAGAUGCAUUUCUUGAUUUGGAAUUUAUAAAUAUCAAGUCCAAGAGGUCUAUGACAAUGCAUUUCCAAUGACUCAAUGACAUGCUUCACACCAAUUGGAUGAGGCUCACAAGGAUAAAGUUACUGAACUAGAGAAGAAUUCAGACAUGCGUGAAGACAAGAUUCACUACAAACAGGGGAAUGGAUGUGUGCAUCUAUUGAUACAAAGGCCGAGGAUCAUUUUCCUUUUUCGAAAAAAAAACUACAAACAGGGGUUCGGAAUGAUGCUCCCCAACCAAAUGGAAUGGUUCAUGAUAUGCUUAUUGGUUCGUUUUUUGCGUGUAUGUAUUUUCGGCGGCGGACCCAGAGCAAGGGGUAUGCGUGCAGUCCCUUUAAAACUUUGAUUAUUUCACAAAAAAAAUCACAAUCUAUUUGCCGUACGUUUUACUCUACAGUAAAAUCAAUAGAUUCAUGUUUUACUCUGAAAGUAAGGUUUUAGGAUGUUCCCGAUCUAUUCCCUAGAUUUACUCUACCAGCCUGUUUGGCAACCAAGAAUUCCGGCUUCAAAAUCAUGCUUAUCUACUAAAUGGAAUUGUAGAGUGAGAGACAUUUUCAUAAAAGUGAUGGCUUUUCGAGAGGAAUUGGAAUUAUACUGUGAUUUCAUGAAAUUUGAGAUUGAAUUCCUAUGACCAAUUUCGUGCCACCAAACAAAACAUUCACUACGCACCACCGCGCUUACUAAAUCAUAGGUUCAAUGGAGAUUGGAGAUAAAUGGACACCGCAACACCUCCUUGUUGGCCUAGAUGGCUAGAUCGUUCUCCACCGUGCUCGUCCAGCCGCAGGCAAUCUCCGGCGGCCGUUUCUCUCUGCAAUCUCCCGCCGGCCGGCCGUGUGGGUGAGUAAUUAAUCUGGACUCGCACACACCUAGAGCUGCAAAUUUUUGACUCUCAGGGUAUCCUUUGACCCUCUUUAGUUCAACCAAAUGAACUAUUGACACCCAUCAUUUGGGCAUAAAAUUAUAGAAUUCAUUUUGAAUUCUAAAAAACAACUUGUUUGGUUGGCACGGAAUUAGCCAAAAGAAUUCAAUCUCAAAUUUCUUAAAAUCACACUAUAACUAGCCUCAAUUCCUCUCUAAAAGCCAUCAUUUUUCUAGAAUUUUCUCUCACUCUUCAAUUCCACGUGGUAGACAAACAUGAUUUUUCAACUCGGAAUUCAAAUUCAAUCAAAUGAAAUCCUAUUAAAAAUUGAAUUUUAUUUCGUUUUGAUCAAAUGAAAUGAAUUAUUGGUUGCCAAACAAGCCGUGAAAUUUUAAAAUGACACAACUUUUAAAAAAACUAGUGCAUUUGUUUGAACUAAGGAGAGUCAGUGGGUACCCUGAGCGUCAAAAAUUUGCAGCCCUGCACACACCAUACAGAAACAAAAACGCACCACAAAUUAAUCCAAGCUUCGUGUAAGUACUAUUCAAAUCUUUCCUAGCAGCUUGUCCAAUCGAGAAACUAAUCAACAGUGGCGGAGCAUUAACUCAUGCCACUUUGGGUCUUCCGAUCUUGCCCCCUAAGCAAAAAAACAUAAUGCUAGUAAGAUUUGCUACUUCGAUCUGAUGGAAUUCAUCCUUGGAUGAUUUAGUAGAACGGACAGUCUAUGUUGAUUUGUACCUGACGUAUACUGUAAAAGACCUCUUCCCUAUAUCUAAUUUAUUAUUUGUGCCGACAUGACACGAACAAAAGCAGUCGUGUCCUAAGUGGAGCCAUGUGCUAAUUUCGCUCCAAACUUACAUGUUCUGUUUGGUUCACUCCAGCAUCUCACUCGUUUGUCUAACACUGAGGUCUGGUCGACAUGGAACACAAUGGUGAAAGGGUUGACAAGAAAACGUAUGUCAUAAUUCAGAAGCCAUAAAUAUGCAGUCCAAGGGGUCCAUAACAAAUGUAUUUCCAAUGAGCCAAUGAACUCGUUGCCACCAAACAUGUGAGGCUCACACGGAUGAAAUGAGCCUCACACGGAUGAAAUGAGCCAAUGAAGAUAUCAAACAAGUGUGAAGAGUACAAGACCCUAUAAAACGUGGGUUAAGAAUGAUGCUCAGCUAAAUGGAUGAAUCAUGGAUAGUCAUUCUCUUAUAAUCUGUUCUUUCUUUCUUAAUUUGAAAAUUGACAUGCAAGUAGUCAUGGACCUCUUAGCUUACAAAAUAAAUCUGGGUUGUGUGGAGCCUAUAAUCAAAAAACAAAUAGUGUCAACUCACAACGAAUGCCGAGCAUGCCACUCAAUUACCUCCAAUAUGGUGCCAAAGAUUUGUUGGUUCGGUUCUAUUCAGAAAGGCAGACAUAUGCUGAGAAGGCUGAUCGACAGAGCAUGUUGCUGCACAUCGACCAUAAUAAAAGAAAAUUACUACUCCUACUUCAAAAAAAAUAAAAUCAAAACUCUCAUUGUCUAAAGCACCAAAAACAUUAAAAGAAAAUUACUACCAUUGACCUUCCUCUAGCCUCCGGCAGAAAGAGGAACAUGUAUGUAUAUUAAAAGAAAAUAUGCUAUUUGAAAAUACGUCACACGAGUUUUAUUAUGGAUGAAUCAUGUAGCUUACAAAACAAAUCUGGGCUGAGGAGCCUAUUAUCGACAAAUAAAGAGUGGAUUCCAUUUUUUAUCUCAUAGUUUCACUUUUGUGACACAAAUUACCCAAUUUAGUGAAAUUUCCAUAACUUUAUCCCAUUUAGUAAAACUUGUGCCACUUUCUACCUCAUUUAUUUUUUUUCUCAGUUUUCUCCCAGUCAUAAAACGUUGGACCCACAUCGGAGGCGUUCUCUUGAUUUAUUUUCUAGAGCCGGACUGCUGGGACUUGUCAAAUGCACACCACGCCGGACCCGGUCGGCUCGUCUAACGUCGAUUCGGGGAUUUCAAUGGCGGCGACGACGUGGAUUCGGAGGAAGCCAAGGCGGCGGCGGCGGGAUCCGAAGCAGGCCGACCAGGUGGUUGCCGCGUUGUUUAGCACUUUAGCCGGGGCGACGAGCCGCACGA